UGAGGGGAAAACAGCCUGAAGCGCCGGCUUUAGUAUCUCGCUCUUUCUUCCUUUAUGAGGUCUGUCUGAGAGUGUCUUGUUCGGCUGGUGUCUGGCACUGACUGUGAGGAUGAGGAUGAUGAUGAUGAAGACGUUUCGACAAGCUCGCAGCUCGGACCGGGUCAACGGCACGUCCUGUUAAAGCACUCAGUGUACCCUGUUCUCCAUCCAGCUGUGCUGUAAUGCACUUCUGAGCUGGUGGGAUCGGACCGAAGCUCUGCUCAAUAGCAGCAGGAUUUGGGGGAUUGUACAAGGAUCUCGGCAAGGAGUGAAAUCCGUGGUUCUUUGAGACAGCUCAGAGGAAUGGAUCCAGGCAAAGGCAAAUCGGACAUCAGAGUGUGUCUUCAACAUAUUCACCUCCUAACCGGCACGUACAGAAUGGAUGCUUCACAAGGACAACCGGAUUAGAAGGUAGUUCAAUUCUAAAAUCACAUCAAAUGUAUUUAACAGGUUGUACUUUAUUUACUGUAAGCUACUGCAACAUAUGUCACAACAUCUUUGCAUGCAACCAAUUUAACCCUGUAAAUUCUGACAUAUGAAAUAAUAACCAGUUUAUUGAACUUUUAGAUAAAAAUAUAUUUGAUACAUCAGGCUUUUAUGCCCCAUAUGAUAUAGGAGAAUAUGGAGCUCAUAGUCAAGGACAUUAAACUUUUAUGCAGUUGUUGAUAUUCAUUUGGCCAAAAAUAUAAAGUUCUGCUAGCUUGUAAUGUGAAUCCUUCAGAUCUUUAUAAAAGUACAGCAAAAUAAUUACAUAAAAUGCAUAUCAGUAUCGUUGUCCCUCUACUGUAUAUCUCCUAAAAAUAUAUAUCAGUGCCACUCUAGAUCUCCUAAUAAUAUGUAGUAAGAUGAUAUUUACAUGUUUUGAUUUAUGAUCAAAGCUCUGGUAUUUUUACUGGGGGCAAAACAUAUCAUGCAAUCCUAGACAAUGAUAAGGAAGAUUUUGAAGGCUAUAGUAGAUUUCAAGGGUACUUGUCAAAGCUGAAUGCAAAGCCAGGUCUCUGAUGUUCCGGAAUAAAACCAGGUCAGGCAUAAAAUGGAGAUACA
ensembl:lncRNA